GCGCUCGCUUUGGCAGCACAUAUACUAAAAUUGGAACGAUACAGAGAAGAUUAGCAAGGCCCCUGUGCAAAGAGGACAUGCAAAUUUGUUAAGCGUUCCAUAUUUUU
ensembl:snRNA U6 U6 spliceosomal RNA